UAGGUUUUAACUCCAACCCUGUUCCUGGAGAGAAACCCUCCUGUAGGUUUACACUCCAACCCUGUUCCUGGAGAGAUACCCUCCUGUAGGUUUACACUCCAACCCUGUUCCUGGAGAGAAACCCUCCUGUAGGUUUUAACUCCAACCCUGUUCCUGGAGAGAUACCCUCCUGUAGGUUUUAACUCCAACCCUGUUCCUGGAGAGAUACCCUCCUGUAGGUUUUAACUCCAACCCUGUUCCUGGAGAGAUACCCUCCUGUAGGUUUUAACUCCAACCCUGUUCCUGGAGAGAUACCCUCCUGUAGGUUUUAACUCCAACCCUGUUCCUGGAGAGAUACCCUCCUGUAGGUUUACACUCCAACCCUGUUCCUGGAGAGAAACCCUCCUGUAGGUUUACACUCCAACCCUGUUCCUGGAGAGAUACCCUCCUGUAGGUUUACACUCCAACCCUGUUCCUGGAGAGAUACCCUCCUGUAGGUUUACACUCCAACCCCAGUUGUAACUAACCUGAUUCAGCUUAUCAACCAGCUAAUUAUUAG
rnacentral:lncRNA from 1 species